AUCGAGUCUUUGAACGCAAGUUGCGCCCGAAGCCGUCAGGCCGAGGGCACGCCUGCCUGGGCGUCACAC
rnacentral:rRNA from 1 species